UCUUCUGGCCUGCAGAAACACAU
rnacentral:piRNA from 1 species